GUCAAACCAAGGAUUUCUUCUCCAUAAGGUCUGCUGCCUGAGGCACAUUUGAUGAUUAUAUUUCUUUCACAAUCAACAGAGUCUCUUUGAGUGCAUACUGUCCUGAGACCUUAUUUUGAAAGGAUUAACAUUUAGAAUGGGAGGAGAGAAAAAGCACCUGAGAAGAGAGCCUCACAAACCGAAGUACCAGGAGUUCUUUUUUGCUGCUCAGUGUCACUGGUUCUCAGGAGAACAAGGUGAAGUCUUCAUGAAUUGCACCACUUUGUACUUGCUCACUUUCGGCACAGAAGCAAUUUUGUAAAUGGUGCACUCAAAUGCUCUGAUGAAGUUAUAACUGAUACAGGCACUGAGACGAAGACGCUGCACUGAAAAAUGGGGCACGUCAAAGGAAACUGAUUCGUAAUCAUAAAAUGUGGAUGAGGAGGCAGAAGUGGUGAGUGUACUGCGGGCUGUCAGUUACCCACUUCCAGGUUUGUCCACAGCCCGAGGGAACCCUAUCUUGUCAGAAGUGCUUGCGGAUGCUAAUCUGUCUACACUUGUUCAAUGUCAAACUGUAUCAGAGGGUUCAGUCUCCUUUUGGACUUCAGCAGUCACCUCCUAGCUCUGUUAGAUCUCCUUUGGUCAAAUGAGCUUUAAAGCUGUCAGGCUCUUCUGUCUCUUUCCCCAUGGAACGGGAAAUGUGGGCAUGUGCUGUUUACCGCUUUUAGCUGUGACCUGAUAGAUCUUUGAUAUGAAAUUCCAGUCACCUCCCGGAAAACACACAAU
rnacentral:lncRNA from 1 species